AGAUUGAACGCUGGCGGCAGGCCUAACACAUGCAAGUCGAGCGGUAGAGAGGUGCUUGCACCUCUUGAGAGCGGCGGACGGGUGAGUAAUGCCUAGGAAUCUGCCUAGUGGUGGGGGAUAACGUUCGGAAACGGACGCUAAUACCGCAUACGUCCUACGGGAGAAAGCGGGGGACCUUCGGGCCUCGCGCCAUUAGAUGAGCCUAGGUCGGAUUAGCUAGUUGGUGAGGUAAUGGCUCACCAAGGCGACGAUCCGUAACUGGUCUGGGAGGAUGAUCAGUCACACUGGAACUGAGACACGGUCCAGACUCCGUAGGGAGCAGCAGUGGGAAUAUUGGACAAGUGGACUAAAGCCUGACUCCAGCCAUCGCCGCGUGUGUGGAAGAGGUCUUACGGAUUAGG
rnacentral:rRNA from 1 species